GGCUAGAGCAAAGCCACGUGGGUACCCAACUUCGUCUGGUUUGAAGUUAUCUUCUACAGAAGGUCCUUUAUUACCUGAUCCAACAGAGUAUAGAAGAGUGGUUGGGGCACUUCCAUAUGCAGUAAAUCAAUUGUACAAAUUUAUGCAUUCUCUGUGUGAACCUCAUUGGGCUGCAGUCAAGAUAGUGCUUUAGAUCUAUUGUUCACUCCAGGAUCUAUUACUCUUCAAGCUAUUUGUGAUUCAUAUUGGGCUGGUAAUCGUAAUGAUCGUUGUAGACUUGUAGUACCACUGGAUAUACAGUUUUUCUGGGAAAAAAUUUGAUAUCAUGGUCUACCAAGAAACAACCAAUUGUUUCCAAGAGUAGCACUGAAGCCAAAUAUAGAAGCAUGGCCAUUGCCACCGCUGAACUAUAAUGGAUAAGAAUGCUCCUCGAUGAACUUGGUGUCUUCCUACCAUACACCCUUACACUAUGGUGUGAUAACAUUGGUGCGAUCGCCUUGUAUUCUAAUCCCAUUUUUCAUGCCCACAACACUGGUCUUUCCAUAUCAAUACCCACUCCAUAAUCACUUCUGAUGUCAUCUCCUACAUCUACUUAGCAUCGCAUUGGUUUAUCCUCAAUUCUAU
rnacentral:lncRNA from 1 species